CCUACGGGAGGCAGCAGUGAGGAAUAUUGGUCAAUGGGCGCGAGCCUGAACCAGCCAAGUAGCGUGAAGGAUGAAUGCCCUAUGGGUUGUAAACUUCUUUUAUAUGGGAAUAAAGUGCAGUAUGUAUACUGCUUUGCAUGUACCUUAUGAAUAAGGAUCGGCUAACUCCGUGCCAGCAGCCGCGGUAAUACGGAGGAUCCGAGCGUGAUCCGGAUUUAUUGGGUUUAAAGGGAGCGAAGGCGGGUUGUUACGUCAGUUGGGAAAGUUUGCGGCUCAACCGUAAAAUUGCCGUUGAUACUGGCAUCCUUUAGUUCAGUAGAGGUAGGCGGCAUUCGUGUUGUAGCGGUGACAUGCUUAGCUAUCACGAAGCACUCCUCUUGCGAAGGCAGCCUGCUGGACUGUAACUGCCGCUGAUGCUCGAACGUGUGGGUAUCAAACAGGAUUCGCUACCCCAGUAGUC
rnacentral:rRNA from 1 species